GGGGGCAUAGCUCAGUGGUAGAGCAUUUGACUGCAGAUCAAGAGGUCCCCGGUUCAAGUCCGGGUGCCCCCU
rnacentral:tRNA from 1 species